UAUCAUGGUAGUCACCUAUUUAUACAUGACUGCCUGUCUCUAUUGGACUAGAAGAACCUUGAAGGCAGAGCCUGUGUCUCAUUUCCUUUUUGCAUUUCCAGUGUCAUGAUGUGUGCUCGGGCGAUAGAAACCAUUCAGCUGGGCUGAACUCUGGUCCACCUGAUUGAUGGCAGGUGUAAGUCCAGUAGUGAUAGAGGUUCACUUCGCUCCUAUAAAACCUUGAUGCUUAGGGCAGUGCAUAGAGGAGAGAGAUGCACGAGAGGAGGCAGGGAACUAUGUGGAUGAUUUGCUCCUAGCUGCCUCAGUGGAUAACGUUGCUGGAACCACAGUGGGUGUAGACGUCCACAGACUGCUUCUGAAGUUCAUAGAAGACUAUGCUGCACAAACAAAGCAAGCCAGAAACAAGAAUACUGUCACCUCACUUUCUUUGCUUUGUUCUCAUCGGGAAAAUACAGCUAAGUCUCAGUCUCUGGAAACUUCUGAGCUAAAUCUUGGUGUCAGCUCUGGAAUGAAAGUUACUCCCAGUGAAUUUUGGUAAAGGGAGAGCCCAGGCCUGCAUCAAUGCGACAAAAGUUAAAUCAUGGAUGAUGAUGAAAACCAAGCAAGGCACUAAGGGAAAGCAAAACUGGAUUCUACUUCCUCUUUCUGAAACAUUUUAAAAUUUGGACUACGUGGCAACCUGCAUUUGUGGGAAAAUGCUACCUGCAUUGGAUGCAAACAGAGUUCAUGGAACAGAAGUACUGAAGGGCAGCAGAUGUAUUUGAUGGAGCCAGAUGUAUUAAAAACAGUCAGAUGCACAUAUAUCUUCCUCUCACUUGAGAGGAAGAAGUGACAGUUGAAAGUAAAUAUACAUAUAAAUGUGGGUGGUGACCAAGAUGACAACAAAUUGGAGGUAUUGACUACUGUCUUUUUAUGUUUUUAUUUUAAUGCCCUAGGUCCCUCUUCUAUGCUUCCCUACUAAUAUUAGCUGUAAAUCUUUAAUUCCUUUGUUUAGCUUAAUUUAUUAUUUUAUGUUAAGAAAUACCAUUUUAUAAUUAUUCAUAAAAUUAGAAAUUUAAUUUUCAAUCACAAUCCCGAUCUGUUCUCAUACCAAAUCAGAAAAUAUUAAGAGCAAGGGAAAAACCUGUUGGGACCAUGUUUUCAUUCUGGUCUGUGUCUUUGUUCCCUCUUUGCUGAAGUGAAGAUCUGAUCAAUUUUCACACACAUUAAGUAAUGCAGGGAGGAAGAAGAG
rnacentral:lncRNA from 9 species